ACAAGGGUAUAAUUACCCAGUAUGGGAUGUACAGUAUAGUCCUGUAGGACACUAUUUCGCUAGUGCAUCACACGACCGGACAGCAAGGAUAUGGUCUAUGGAAAGAAUACAACCUUUGCGAAUAAUGGCAGGGCAUUUAUCUGAUGUUGAUUGUGUGCAAUGGCAUGCC